GACGAACGCUGGCGGCGUGCUUAACACAUGCAAGUCGAACGGAAAGGCCCGGCUUUUGUGGGGUGCUCGAGUGGCGAAGGGGGGAGUAACACGUGAGUAACCUGCCCUUGACUUUGGGAUAACUUCAGGAAACUGGGGCUAAUACCGGAUAGGAGCUCCUGCUGCAUGGUGGGGGUUGGAAAGUUUCGGCGGUUGGGGAUGGACUCGCGGCUUAUGAGCUUGUUGGGGGGGUAGUGACUUACGAAGGUUUUGAGGGGUAGCCGGCAUGAGAGGGUGGACGGCGACAUGAGUCCUGCGAGAGGCACCAGAAUCCAACGGGAGGCAGCAGUGGGAAACAUUGCGCAACGGGGCGACGCCUGUGGCGACAACGCCGCGUGCGGAAUGACGGGCUUCGGGUUGUAAACCGCUUUCGAAUGUAACGAAGAGUGAGUGACGGUAAUGGGUAAAGAAGCAACGGCUAACUACGUG
rnacentral:rRNA from 1 species